rnacentral:misc_RNA from 1 species
AAAGUCGUAACAAGGUAACCGUAGGUGAACCUGCGGUUGGAUCAUUAAAAAGUUUAGGCGGCUCGAGUCUCGCACUCCUGCCGUCCUACCAACCCACAUUUAUGUGAACCGUUUUGUCUCUGGCGGCGGGAGAGUUGUGACGCUACUUGUUAGUGUUGCUUCUCUCUGUCAGCUCGGGCAACCGAGCCGUGGACAAACCGCCAACUGACUACUUAACCAAACCUUUUAAAAAUUUAUGUCUAACAUAAAAUCUGUAUUUAAUAUACAAACAACUUUUGGCAACGGAUCUCUUGGCUCUC